GGAAUUGGCGUUUCUCUAAAAGUAGGGUGAAAAGCAGUAUAAGACCAACAGACAUCCUAAUAAUGUGCAGUCUGCUUACACUGCAUGUAUUUAAAUGGCAGAGAUGAAGGAGCUAUGGAUUAUGGCUGUCUUUGCUACAGUCUCUUUGCUACAGGGGGAUCUCACCACAUCCUCUGCCGUUCCAACCACCAUUGACUUAACUACUCCAGCUACUGCUGCCCCUUUAACCCCUGACACUCCAACUACUGGUUACCGAAAUGCUACUGGACUUCCAACUACUGGUAACCCUACCUCUAUCCCUAUCACCAGUACCAGUCUCCCCACCACCACCUCUACUGCCACAAUCCCUCCUCUGGUCUGUAUCAAUGGUGGUGAGCUGCAGAGUGGAGUCUGUAUCUGUCCUGAUGAUUGGACCGGAGAGACCUGUUCAGAGGGGAAUUUCUGCAAUUCCACCAUCAUUGCUGAUUUAUCCUUCCCAAGAACAACGGUUGGCUGGUCUGCUUAUUCAGAACAAUUGUGUGGUGAGGAGACAACCAGUGCCGGUUUACCAGAAGCCUCAGCAAGAUGUUUGAAUGACACUGGCUCUCCGAUGUUUGGUCCUCCUCAGGAGCUGCAGUGUGAAUUAA